UACGUAGGGGCCUAGCGUUGUCCGGAUUUAUUGGGCGUAAAGAGCUCGUAGGCGGUUUGGUUAGUCAGGUGUGAAAUCUCCACGCUCAACGUGGAGGGGCCACCUGAUACUGCCAUGACUUGAGUCCGGUAGGGGAGUGUGGAAUUCCCGGUGUAGCGGUGAAAUGCGCAGAUAUCGGGAGGAACACCGGCGGUGUAGACGGCUUUCUGGACCGUAGCUGACGCUGAGACACGAAAGCGUGGGUAGCAAACAGG
rnacentral:rRNA from 1 species